rnacentral:rRNA from 1 species
CUACGGGCCGCUCCAGUGAGGAAUAUUGCACAAUGGGGGAAACCCUGAUGCAGCAACGCCGCGUGGAGGAUGACGCAUUUCGGUGUGUAAACUCCUUUUAUCAGAGAAGAAAAUGACGGUAUCUGAUGAAUAAGCUCCGGCUAACUCCAUGCCAGCAGCCGCGGUAAUACGGAGGGAGCAAGCGUUAUUCGGAAUCACUGGGCGUAAAGGACGCGUAGGCGGGUUUUUAAGUCAGGUGUGAAAUCCUAUGGCUCAACCAUAGAACUGCACUUGAAACUGGGGACCUAGAGUAUGGAAGGGGCAGGUGGAAUUAGUGGUGUAGGGGUAAAAUCCGUAGAUAUCACUAGGAAUACCGAAAGCGAAGGCGACCUGCUGGGACAUUACUGACGCUGAGGCGUGAAAGCGUGGGGAGCAAACAGGAUUAGAUACCCUUGUAGUC